ACACAUUGGGGCUGAUUCUGGAUUCGACGGGAUUUGCGAAACCCAAGGUGCAUGCCGAGGGGCGGUUGGCCUCGUAAAAAGCCGCAAAAAAUAGUCGCAAACGACGAAAACUACGCUUUAGCAGCUUAAUAACCUGCUUAGAGCCCUCUCUCCCUAGCCUCCGCUCUUAGGACGGGGAUCAAGAGAGGUCAAACCCAAAAGAGAUCGCGUGGAAGCCCUGCCUGGGGUUGAAGCGUUAAAACUUAAUCAGGCUAGUUUGUUAGUGGCGUGUCCGUCCGCAGCUGGCAAGCGAAUGUAAAGACUGACUAAGCAUGUAGUACCGAGGACGUAGGAAUUUCGGACGCGGGUUCAACUCCCGCCAGCUCCACCAAACAUUCAUUCAUGAUGCAUCAUGAACCUUAAAAAAGCCUGUAACUUCAACGAGUUGCAGGCUUUUUU
rnacentral:tmRNA from 1 species